ACCUGGCUGGCUCAGUCAGUGGAGCAUGAAACUCUUGAUCUCAGAGUUGUGAGUUUGAGCCCCAUGUUGGGUA
rnacentral:tRNA from 1 species